UACGGGGGGAGCAAGCGUUGUUCGGAUUUACUGGGCGUAAAGGGCGCGUAGGCGGCGCAACAAGUCACUUGUGAAAUCUCCGGGCUUAACUCGGAACGGUCAAGUGAUACUGUUGUGCUAGAGUGCGGAAGGGGCAACUGGAAUUCUCGGUGUAGCGGUGAAAUGCGUAGAUAUCGAGAGGAACACCUGCGGUGAAGGCGGGUUGCUGGGCCGACACUGACGCUGAUGCGCGAAAGCCAGGGGAGCGAACGGG
rnacentral:rRNA from 1 species